rnacentral:ncRNA from 2 species
AUAUGUUCUCAGGGCGGAGUGAAAUUCUCCACCGGUGGUAAUUCAUAAAACAAAAAAGUGAUAAGUCCACGAGCACAGAUGUGUUGAUUUGGUGAAAGUCCAAAACCGACGGUGAAAGUCCGGAUGGAAGAGAAUAUGA